GACGAACGCUGGCGGCGUGCUUAACACAUGCAAGUCGAACGGAAAGGCCCUGCUUUUGUGGGGUGCUCGAGUGGCGAACGGGUGAGUAACACGUGAGUAACCUGCCCUUGACUUUGGGAUAACUUCAGGAAACUGGGGCUAAUACCGGAUAGGAGCUCCUGCUGCAUGGUGGGGGUUGGAAAGUUUCGGCGGUUGGGGAUGGACUCGCGGCUUAUCAGCUUGUUGGUGGGGUAGUGGCUUACCAAGGCUUUGACGGGUAGCCGGCCUGAGAGGGUGACCGGCCACAAUGGGACUGAGAUACGGCGCAGACUGCUACGGGAGGCAGCAGUGGGGAAUAUUGCACAAUGGGCGGAAGCCUGAUGCAGCAACGCCGCGUGCGGGAUGACGGCCUUCGGGUUGUAAACCGCUUUCGCCUGUGACGAAGCGUGAGUGACGGUAAUGGGUAAAGAAGCACCGGCUAACUACGUG
rnacentral:rRNA from 1 species